rnacentral:tRNA from 1 species
GCAAUGGUGGUUCAAUGGUAGAAUUCCCAUCUUCCAUGCAGCAGACCCGGGUUUGAGGCCCGGCCGAUGCA